rnacentral:tRNA from 1 species
GUUGGAGUGGCAGAGAUCGGUAAGUGCGG